CCUCCUUUCUUAGUAGGCUUGCUUCCACCCUGGAUAAUCAAAUAAGAUAAUUACCUCUAGGUCGAGCACCAGCCCCUUCUCUUUUCAGGAGACACAAAGCUGAUUCCCCCAACACCUGCCCAUGUGCACUUUCUCAUGGGUGUCACUGUCCCAGCCGGGCUCUGGGAGGUGACAACAGCCCUGACUCCAUGCCAGAGAGUGAUGCCACUUGAGGGAGUGGUCUAUAAAAGCAUGGGCAGGGGCUGCCCACUUAGCCCUGGGUGCUGAGUCCUGAUUCUGGUGAGCCCUGACCCUGUUUGCCUUCAGGGAUGUGCUGUGUUGGAGCGGAAAUUGCUGUUUGCUCAUAACUUCAAAAGUGACCCAACAGCCCCAUUCUUCCAACUGCAGGCUGACAAAUCUGCUUUUAGGAGGAGGCACGGCCAGAGUACGUGCACACACCUAUUUAAUCUGCUCUUGAGGGGCAUGUCUUUGUCCCCAGGCCUCUGUGUGACUCUGAGACCCAGAAGGAAGUCACGGAUCUGCAGGAGGCUCUGUGUAGCCCAGCACCUGGCCACAGCUGCCACGUGGGUGCGGGCAGUGCCAGUGCCUUGUGCCCUUAUUCCAGCAGGACUGCUGGAGCUGGAGACAUUUAGAGCUGUCCAAGGGAUGUGCACCUCCAUACCCCUACAGUUCUUGGAGGGUAAAUAACGUACCAGACCUUUUCUCCCUAUGCUCUUUCCACAUGUGCCCUGAUGGCUCUGACUGCACAGCCCCAUGCAUUGCCCGCAGACAGGCUCACAACCGAAGUCCUGCUCUCUGGGCUUCCCUUCCACUGGCCACUACUUUUUCCACUACAACCCAAGCCCUGAAUUAGCCAAAGCCAAACAAGAGCAUCCUAACAUCGAGAUCUCCUCGCAGAGCUGCUCUGUGCAAUCAACAGGGCCAUAAGGAAGAGGCAGAAGGUGGAACAGUGACUUGGUGGAGGUUUCCCUCUACAAGGCUGGAGGCUGCAGGAGAUCAGGAAGCCCCUGCACUCCGGGAGGUGCCUGUGCUCUCUGAUCACUUUGUGCCAGUGCUCACAGCAGUUUGGAGCUGAGCCAUUGGGGCUGCAACUUGCUGCCAUCUACACAGAGCAGACCCUGGCAGUGCCACCAUCCACGCCAGCCCUAUCCCACCCCCACCACACCACUCCCAGUCCUCACCCCAGCCCCAUGUGAAGAAGUCAGUGAUGUGACACAGUGCCUGUGGACCACAACUCGUGGCUUUGUGGGCACAACUGCAGCACGAGGACUCCAAGAGUGGGGAUGAACUUGUGCAAGGAGGGAGAGGACAAGAAACAGCUCCUGCUCCCUCCCAGGUGCUGUGACCUUGGUGCACCAUAACGUGACGCAAGUGAGCAACAGCUGGCUCCAAGUGGACUGACUCCAGGUAAGCUUGGGAACAGUAUGGCCUCACCUGGUUGGCACCAAGCCCUGGAAAACCACUUCAAAGCAGACACAGAAGCAGAGGAGCCAGCUCCCCAUAUCCGAGUGCCGGCGUCACCUAAGGGUUCAAAAGAACCAAACUAAAUGGGUGCUCCUGUCCUCUACUUGCAGUGCUGGAGCCUGAUCCCAGGCUAGCACAAGCCACUUAGAGUCACUGGGGACACCCAGUCCAGAAGCAGGUCACACCACACGGCCCAGCCUGAGGUGCCAGCUGAGGGAUCCUGCUCUACUGACACCGGUUCUGCCACUGCCUCUCUGUGACAGCCUGGAUGAGCAAGCACCACCAUGCAGGGACAACCUUCAUCACCAGUGGAAAUUCCUUCCUUGUGCACAAGGGAGAAAAGCAGCUCACUAGGGAGAAAAGCAGCAGCCACCUGUCUCAUUGCUAUCAGAGCAUCUCCCAGGGCUGGGAGAGAUCUGCCCUAUACUCACAGGGGCACUGCCAAUGUCCCAACAGGCAGUGGUUGCCUUUGACCAUGCCCCAAAUGCCAACCCCUGCCUGGAACCACUCAGUCUCACCUGGCUGCUGGAGAAGGAAAGGUUUAAGCCAUCACAGUGCUCCUCUCUAUCUGCCCACUGAUGGCCAGACCUGUUGGACAGCCUGAACUGAGCUUGGUGAGAGCCAGAAGGGCAAUGGCUCAGCAGCAGCCUGGGGGCCUCUCCUUUGGCUACAGGCAAAGGAGAGAAGGGGAGCCCAGGGUCCAGAAGAUGGGGCUGGGAUGGAGAAGCAGCACAUCCCCUCCCCCACUAGUCAGCCCAUGAGCACUUUGCUAGCAUCUCAGAUAUGCAUCUCCUUGGUGGGAUUCACUUCCCACCCUCCCAGAUAGGAAGUGACACUGGCACUGCUGCCCAGAGAAACUGUGGGUGCCCCAUCUUGGAAGUGCCCAGGCAAGCGAAUGGGGCCCUGAGCAGCCUGAGCUGGUGGGAGACAAGCCCACAGCAGGAGUGGGGCAGGGGGGGCUGUAAGGUCACUUCUACCCAAGCCAUGCUGUGAUUCUGCGAUUGCCCAGCACCCCAGCUCCCUCUGCCCAGCCUGGCCACACAGCUUACUCAUCCAGCAGCACAGCAGAGCGAGAGAAACAUGCCAGGAGCAGUCAAAACCAGCACUAAUCACUCCCUUGUACACAUUCAAUCAGUUCCUUCCUCUACCUAGUUCUGCAACACUGCACUUAACCCAGCAGCAACCCCUUCUCUCACUGUGUGGGUACUGGUGACUGCAGGCAGGCACAGCUCUUUAUCUGCUCAUUACACUGCAGAUACAGACGCCUGCCUGCGGCCCAGCCAUGUGUUUGGUUGGUGCCGUCUGUCCUCAUCGCUGCGUGUGGAUGCCGCCACGUCUGCACGUCCUCAGCAGCCCCAGGCAGACCAGGAGGGUUUGUACCACCAAGGUGGCCCAGGACUGCACUCUCGUCACACAUAUGGGGACGUUGGCAGCAGUAACGCCACAAGGUGGCUUUCACAUCUGGCUUGGUGUCACAUUAACUCAGAAGACACAGGGAACAUCAUCAGUCAUCAUGAAUGAGAAGCUGUGGGAGCAACAAAUGCCUUUUCACAUCUCCAGUAUAUUUACUAGUCUUUGUCUAAACUUGAUAUCUAUUCAAUAUAUAUUAUCAACCUACUAUCUGAGUUAUCUGUUAUCUCCAGUGAUUGCAGCUAAAAAGCAAAAGAAUCAAUGGGAGCUUCAGUGUUUCACUGAAAUACUGGAUUAUUA